rnacentral:rRNA from 1 species
UACGAAGGGGGCUAGCGUUGUUCGGAAUUACUGGGCGUAAAGCGCACGUAGGCGGAUCGAUCAGUCAGGGGUGAAAUCCCAGGGCUCAACCCUGGAACUGCCUUUGAUACUGUCGAUCUGGAGUAUGGAAGAGGUGAGUGGAAUUCCGAGUGUAGAGGUGAAAUUCGUAGAUAUCGGGAGGAACACCAGUGGCGAAGGCGACUUCCUGGCCUGUUCUUGACGCUGAGGCGCGAAAGCUAGGGGAGCAAACGGG